rnacentral:rRNA from 1 species
GACAGAGGAUGCAAGCGUUAUCCGGAAUGAUUGGGCGUAAAGGGCGCGUAGGCGGAUAUGUAAGUCAGAUGUGAAAUUCCUGGGCUCAACCUAGGAGCUGCAUUUGAAACUACAUUGUCUAGAGGAUAGGCGGAGAAAACAGAAUUCCACAAGUAGCGGUGAAAUGCGUAGAUAUGUGGAAGAAUACCGGUGGCGAAAGCGGUUUUCUAGCUUAUUCCUGACGCUGGAGUGCGAAAGCAUGGGGAGCGAACGGG